UACGUAGGGGGCAAGCGUUGUCCGGAUUUAUUGGGCGUAAAGAGCUCGUAGGUGGUUCGGUAAGUCGGAUGUGAAAUCUCCAGGCUCAACCUGGAGGGGUCAUUCGAUACUGCCGUGACUAGAGUUCGGUAGGGGAGUGUGGAAUUCCUGGUGGAGCGGUGAAAUGCGCAGAUAUCAGGAGGAACACCCGUAGCGAAGGCGGCACUCUGGGCUGAUACUGACACUGAGGAGCGAAAGCGUGGGGAGCGAACAGG
rnacentral:rRNA from 1 species